UACGGGGGGAGCAAGCGUUGUUCGGAUUUACCGGGCGUAAAGGGCGCGUAGGCGGUCAGCACAAGUCAGUUGUGAAAUCUCCGGGCUUAACUCGGAAAGGUCAACUGAUACUGUGCGACUAGAGUGCAGAAGGGGCAACUGGAAUUCUCGGUGUAGCGGUGAAAUGCGUAGAUAUCGUAAGGAAGACCAGUGGCGAAGGCGGGUCUCUGGACAGUUCCUGACGCUGAGGCACGAAGGCCAGGGGAGCAAACGGG
rnacentral:rRNA from 1 species